AAGAUCGUACUUCACGGGAUCACUUCUGUAAGAGUUGAUCUUAUUUUCCCUCCUUAAUGUGAAAGCUGAUGUAACCAUGAUGAGGGGCAAUAGCCUUCUUCCUUGAGCGUGAGAACGACACGAGUUCCUGAGUUAUUCGUGAUCUUCCCCAUUGAUGACCGUUCAUUUUUUACACUUGCUAGUGCAUCGAUAAUGGAAGAAAGAGCUUUCUGAAUGCU